rnacentral:tRNA from 1 species
GGCCUUAUAGUUGAAAAACAACAGCAGAUUGCAGAUUUGAAAGUGUAUUAUUACUAAGGCUU